UCGAGUGCAAAGAGGAAACUCUUUUUAGAACCGUUCCCACAGACGCAGCAACUAUGAAGUUGCGAUGUCAAUAAAUCAGUCGGUGAGAUCCUUCCCACACGGCGUAAUACAUCAUCACUUAUGAUGCGGCGUCACCACAUCAAAUACAUAAGCCAACUAGGGCAUAACACAAAAUCCAUCCCAUCUUUACUGAAGGUAACGAAGAGCCUUUUGAAAUUGUCCUCUCAUCUCUGUCUCUCUCCCUCUCUCCCACUCUCUGUUCCAUCGUCAUUUAAAGGGAAGAGGCAUAUUUCAGGUUUGUGCAUGAAUCUAAUAUAGCUAAAAAAAUCCCAUCAAACACAAAUUAAAAUACUAGAUAGCAAUCAGCACUAGUUUAGUAUAGUAUUAGAUUCACGCACAAACUCGUAAUCUGUCUUUUUCAAUUCCUUUCUUCUUCUAUUUUAUCUUUCCAGCAGGCAGGCCGCUCUUGUUCUUCCAUGGAUUUUCUUGUCUCUUCUGCUUCAAAUCUUGAUGUCCUUUGGCGCCGUUGGCUUUGGGGAUCAUCUUUCAGUCAAGUUCAGAAUCCCAUGUCAAUAAUUUUAGUAAUUGAACAUUAUUAAUGGUGGUUCUUUAUCAAUUACCCGUCAAGGAGAAAAACGCGAUUUGGUAA